UCCCUGGUGGUCCAGUGGUUAGGACUUUGGCUUUCAACGCAGGGGGUAACAGGUUCAAUCCCUGCUCAGGGAC
rnacentral:tRNA from 1 species